UUUCGGUUGGAAGUCCCCUCUAAGGUGUGUCUCUUGCAGUAAGAUGAUAUCGGCUCCCUGUCUAUCUAUCUCCUGCGCCAACAUAGUGCGCUUCAUAGGAGAAUUCAGCCCCGCACAUUCAGGGACAUUAUUUUAGUCCGGGUCAUUUUAGUGUUUUAUGGGCUAGUCUCCUAUCUGGUGGGUCAGAGCGUUUGUUGUUUAGCACGGGAGUCAAGUGGGCUAAAUAGGCAGGAUAGGUUUGGGGAAGG